UUUUUGGAACAGGGGUUUAAGUUAUAACUCCAAGUAUCCUGUGGGUCUGAGUGCAGCCUGGAGUCCUCCUCCUCAGGGAGGUGGGUGUUAGCAUCUAACCCCCUAACUGUUGCUCAACGCAGAAUUCUUUCAUGGCUGCAGAAAAUGCUCUACCUUGCAAUAUACUCUAAUUCUGGUACUUGAAGAUUUGUGUUUGUUUCUUGUACAUUCAGCUGUAACUUUUUAAAAUAGAAAAAAAGCACUGUUAUUUUUUUUCAACAUAUCCAUGUCCCUAUGAAUUUUUUGAGAGAGCUUUUCAAACCGGCCUCGUUUAUUAGAUUAUUGAGAAUGGAGGACCACUUCUCAUCCCUGAUGACUGCACAAAUCUCUGGACGUGUGUGCACAAUUUAUUGAUUUACUCGUUCACUUAGUGAUGCGGAUGUGUUAAUUUUUACAGUGUUCUGGAAGUUCCACCGAGAUGCCGUCGGCAUUGCUUUGCCUCGGAGCCCAGCCUCCUGCCGGGCGUGGUGCCACAGAGGUCCCGUGUGCCUUGCGGCUGGCGGCUCGUCGAGUCUGCUCCGAUGUGCAUCCGGCGAGAUAAUAUCUACUGACUGAUCACUUAAGAUCUAUCAGAUACUGUGCUGGGGAAUACAGCGGGUGCUAUGGAACUACAGUUUCCGUCUUCACAGAGCUACAGAUGAGCGGAGGAAGACCUACCAAGGAGCAGGUGUAAGAUGGAGCAAGAAGAGCCGUGAUGAGGAAGAACUCACGGCAGAACCCCAGCACGGAGUUCCCUGCCUCGUCUGAAACCUGAGGUCAGACACUGUGGAAGUACGUACUUCCUUUUUGAGAACCUCUGGUUUGUUUGCUUCUGCCCUGUGACAGCCUUCAUAGUCCCUAUCCGGAUAGACUCCAGCCACCUCCCUCUUUUUCCAGUUUGGCUUUCAGACUGCGGUGUUGGGUUCAGUAACAACGCUCCGCUGGCCCGUCUGCUACUGAGCAAUCAUCUCACCUGUUUCACGUUCACUCCCUGUCGCCCCGUGUGCUUGGCCACUAUGAGCCCGUCCCAUGCGAUCAAGCUCAGAUCUUCACACCCUUGGCUUAUGAGGCAUGCCUUGACUUCUACUAUUUUGCUGAGCAGAUUGAGGACAUCUGGGGAGAACUCCCUGAACCUUCCGCUCCCUGCACCGAAAUAUUUCUUCGUGGUUCCUUCUCUGCUUUUUCCCUCCUGUCAUAGAAAAAAAAUAAAAAGCAACUUCCUUUUUCAGACCUCA